rnacentral:lncRNA from 1 species
AAAUGCCUGCUGGCCAGAGAGCCUCGCCCGCCAGGCCGGGGCCCCAGGGUUCGAAGUUACGGUCAGUCUGGAAUCUCGGCCUCAGCAGUGGGACCACCCGGAGGGGUGGGGGUACAUGUUCGAAAGAAAAGGACUCACUUAAAUGGAGAAACCCGGAUUAGGAAAGAGAGAAAGCAGCGGCAGCAGACACGGCCAGGGUCUGCACUCCUCCUCCCAUUUGCAGCCUUCAUAAGUGGACACUUCCAACCCCUACACCUGCCUGUCCUCCCAGUCCAGCCUUGGCCCGAGAUGUGAUCUAAUUCUCACUAUGCUGCUGUGGGCAGAGCACAUGGCAUCAGAAUGCUAGGAGCUGCUGUUGGGCGCCAUGGGAGGGAAUUCCCCAACUCAGGAAAGCUCUUCCAGCGGAAAGGAGCAGGUGGCGAGCCUCCCUGAAGAGACAGACACUGCCAACGCUACAGGCAGAGCCAAUCGUGGG